rnacentral:misc_RNA from 1 species
GUGGUAGAAUUGUCAGUUGUUGUUUUGUGCCGUUUCAAACACUAUUUCAGACAUAUGACGGUUUAUCACCUCGAUGGGUAACGGAGAAAGUGAAUCAAGUCUUGGACGUUUACCACUAACAAACCAAGGACUAUAGCCAACCAUGGCUAAACAUGGCACGACCCAGAAACGCAUUUCUGAUCCCAAGCCUAUACGACAGCGUAUUGCAAAGAUGAGGCUGGUCUACCCCUGUCAUGUCCUCGUGGUUGCUGUGGCUCACUCAGAUACAGACAGUUUUGUUGCGACUCCUCAAGUAAAUCCGUUGGUUUGCCAACUGGAGUAAUUGUUGCAAUCGUCUUUGCUGUCAUCCUCCCCCUUAUCCUUGUGUUUGGAAUCGCUUGCUGCUGUGUCUACUGUCGCGGGGCAUCAUCCAAGCAACAUCGUCACGUGAUACACACAAGUCAUCUUGCUGUGAUAAACACAGGUUAUUCAACAGAAACAGAUGACUUUGGAAACCCAAUUAGGCCGCCUUUAAGAGCAAGACAAUUCCGUCCCCCUUCUACAAAUUCUACAGCGCGUUCUCCACACGUUGACUACUCAACGACUUCAACAUCUGCGGUCCAGCCUCUGAAAGUCCCGCCGCCACACUACAAUGAGGGCAUAACAACGAAUACCACAGUACAUGAAGCAGGGCCAAUGAUAACAACUGUGUAAUUACUGGAAGAAACACGCUCGUUCAAACUUUCCUUCACUCGAUUGACCACCAUUGACUCCCCAAAAGAUUUGACUUCCCUUGCAAAGAUAUUUGCUAUGUGGGAUUUGCUCAGGACUGUGUUGUUGUGGACAGUCAAUAUUUUUACUUUGAAAAGAUUUUAUUUGGUUUAUAUUUUUAGGCAUGCAUGAUGUAUACUUACCCUUCCUUUCGUAUUUUAAGGGUGUUGUUGAUUGGACGAAACAAGAAAAUCAGGGUAUUGACAUCCUCUCAGGAAGAAUCAGGCAAUAGAUCCCACCACCUCGCUCAAUCGCUUACAUUUACCAGUUAUAAUGGGACGGCGUGGCUUGAUUAACGUCGAGGCUCUUCAUGAUAGAAUAGCCUUGUGCACUUUUGCAAACAUUUAUUUUUCUGGUAAUCCUCUUGUGAAGCAUGCCAAGACUCAUGAUGAAAACAAGGCAUUCAACAGUUUUCAUAAACGAGACAAGGAUGUGGGACAUAAUCUGAAUGUCAAUGUUGAUUUUGUUAAUGGUUGACGGAAAUGAGUGUCACCCCAGGGAACUGCCAUAUCAAAUCCGCCCAGACUCAGAAACGUGAAACCGAAGGGUUUCUGUUUGCUGCUCAAGACCAGUCACUUCCCACUUCCCACUUCCCACUUCCCACAAUGUGUGAAUUUGCAUCAAAAUGGAAAUAUGAAAUGUAGAUUAUGCAAUGAAUUUAAUGAGACUGCCCAACACAUUGUCAGUGGAUGCCCAGCUUUGGCACAAACACAGUAUCUUAAGCGACAUGAUGG